GGGUUGAAAUGAAUCUUCAAACAAAGAACUGGGGGAAUGGCACUGAUCACAUAUUUGCCCUCAUAUAAUUCAUGAUCCAAGGUUUCCACUACAACAUUUUCACCCGACUGGUCAAUGCGAACUACUGGUUUCUUCAGCUUCACUCGGCCUCCCAGGCGUUCCAUUAUUUUCUCACUGAUCUGUCCAGAGCCUCCAACAAACUUCCUCUCCUGUCCUCCAUUGGUUGUUGAGAAAAU
rnacentral:lncRNA from 1 species